rnacentral:lncRNA from 1 species
AGAGCAAAAGAAAAGGCCAAGAAAGAGGUCAGUGAAGCCUCCAUGAAAGCUGAUGCCAUCGAAAGGAGAGCCGAAGAUGCUGGGCAGCAUUGAGAAAGGCUGUUGAGGAGAAUUCUUGACUGCUGAGAGAAAUAAAAGAGCUGAAGGUUUGAUUGGGGGCUGAAAAGAAGCAAAUAGCCGAGGCCACUUCUAAAGCUAUGGAGGACUUUCAGAUCUCUGAAAAAUAUGAGGAAGAAAGGGCUAAAUACUCCACUGACGCCUAUGAC